CAGCCCAUCUCUCAGCUGACGGAGGUUAAAGGCUAUGUAGAUUCCUGGGACAGCUGUUUGGUAAUUGUCACAGCCAGUUACUUGGUAACCCACGAACAGGGAUCUCAGGAGGGAUGGGAUUUAAAAUCAUUGCUGAAUAACUUUCCUGGGAUCUCUUGCAGCACCGAGGAUGGGUUAAAUGAAGUGGCACUAUAUUCCACUCCUAUUUAAAUAGAUAAAUCCACAACAGACUUCCCUCAGCAUGCUGCAGUGUGUGUAGUUAAUUUGCUGGAUAUAACAGAGUGAUUUACACAACAACAGGCUGAGGAAAGCAGAAAGAGAGGCAGGCCCUCCUGCAAAAAGGACUUUGUGUUGCUAUUUCCUUCUCUUUCAUCUUUUACUUACUUAUUUAUUUAUUUAUUGAGAAAGCGCAACCUACAGGUUUGAGCUGAGCCAGAUGCUUUUGUGACUAACGCUUGCUAAGCAAACCACCGAAGACCUCGCUGUCCUUGGCAGCAUUAUAGGGGUCAAACUUCCCCACGUACGUGGUCCUCUAGCAACUUUCCCACGUGUGUGUCGCAAGCAGGAGCUCUCAAACAUCAUCCCGGCUUCAGUGCCAGAUCUUCGUGUAAUUUCUUCACCUACAAGACAGAGAUACUAGCAAGCAUUAUUUUUCUGCAUCACAACCUUAUUUAUGAAGGCCUUUGAGGAUGAAAGUCUGCUCUUGCCCAACAGACACAUAAUUUGCUGAUGUGUCAUUAGCAGAGAUACAGCUGUGCGCAGUAUGGCAAGGCGCUGGCGACGGGUGAGAGGAGACAGGGGUCGCUUGGCCCAGGCUGUCAGCAGCUCGUCCUAACUCCGGAUGCGGCAUCCACGUGUGACCCCGAGGGGAGCGCUGCGGGCUGAUGGCUUCCCAAGGUCGUGGGGAAAAGGGCAGCUGCUCUGCAGCUCUGCUCGGGGAAGGGUUAACGGCCCUGACUGCUUCAGCUCGAUCUUACACAACCGCAGCUUGCAGCCCGCAUGGCUGUCCGUUCUUCUCGUUUGUAUUUUCUACAAAGAUAUCAUUAUUAGUUGCUGCAGGACAAAUCCUUUGACCUCUUGUCGUUGUUAUUUAUUAAUUCUCAUGUCCAUCUGCAAGGACCAAUGCUUGUCUUCCUCCGAGAGAGAGAUGCAAAAAGAAGCUGGCUGAAUUGGCUGCACUAAAUUCACCUUGCCACUACGAAGCAGGCCAGAAAAGGGCUAUGGUUCGGGGUCGGUUCCCAACAAAGCUUCAGCAUGGGCCUCGGGGUAGUUGCUGACCACCAUCUACAUCCAUCUCUCGGUAAGCAUAAGUGACUCCAGGAGCACCAGCCGGGGGAGCAGGUGGCUCCCCUUUCCAGCAAGGUCUCAGCAGUGUGGCGAAAAUCCCAUCACACUUCUUGGAACCGGCCGCAUCCCCAGAGAGCAGCGGGCACAGCCUCUCCCGUAGGAUCUGCAGGAGGACAGCGAGUUGGUCCAUGCUCUGGAAUGGCACUGUCUGCUUUUCCACUUUCUUUCUGGAAACAACUGGCAAUGUCAAGAUGAUUUUCCAGACACACUGGAAGGAUGGCUGCUGGACUAUCGCGUGACUUAUGUUCCUUUUGAGGGGAAGAAAUCUAUGGUGUUCCCUUCUUCAUAACCCGUAAGUGUAUGCAAAGCAUUUCUGUGGUAUGUGCGUACAGCAGCUGCAGGCUUCUGACCAAAACGCCCCAGUGCUGUGACACAAACACACCUUGGUUAAGGAGUAUCAUAGGCUAGAGGAAAAAUAUUUUAACAAAGAUAGGCCAGUUACAUUAUGAACACCCCAACCUUCAGGCUGGGUGGCUCCAUGGAAACACGGGAUAAUGCCCUACUGAAGGCAAGUCCUAAAAGCUUGUGAAACGGGCAAUUUCUGAAAGCAUUUUCUGUCCUCAUAUGCUGUAAGAAACUGAUGAAACACACUUGGUAAUACUCAGAUUGAGACAAGUAUUUCUUUAGUGUCUUUUCUCUGUGUUAUAACCACUGAACUACGGGUGUUCUGCUACCCUGGCUAGCCAAAUAAUCCUUCUUUUUUAUUAAUAAAGGUUAAAGGAGUGAACUUAAACCUUGGCUUGAAUGACUCAUGUACAGACACGUACCAAACCCUUUUGUUGGAGCCACUGUCACAAAGAUAACACAGCAGUUCUCAUUUGAAUUACUACAAAAACUACCACUGAAUACAGAGGUCUGGCCCAUGUGUAUACAAAACACAGUGGAAAAGAUUACGGUUUCCAGAGGGACAACAGGCCCAUUUUGCACUGGUCCUACACUUCUGGUGAAGCAAGAAGCUCAUUUGCCAAAGGCAAAUUUUCCUAAGCAAAAAGAAUACGAAUCCAAAAUUCACGCUUCCCACAGUCUUACUCUUUUUCUUUUAUUUCAAGUUACAUCUUCUUAUAUAUCAAAUUGAUUGAAACAGUUGCACCACACAUUUGUACCAAAACCCAUUUCAGUAGGAGGGCAAUUGCCCCAGCCCAGCCUGCCUAUCCUCAAUUCCUCCAGCCCCAGAAACACAAAAGCUCUAAAGGUGUGUUUUGUUUAAGGCACUUGAUUUGCAUGCAAACACCAGGCAGAAAAUAUCAGCUGUUUUCAAU